rnacentral:rRNA from 1 species
UACGAAGGGGGCUAGCGUUGCUCGGAUUGACUGGGCGUAAAGGGCGCGUAGGCGGUUCGUACAGUCAGACGUGAAAUUCCUGGGCUCAACCUGGGGGCUGCGUUUGAUACGUGCGGACUUGAGUGCGGAAGAGGGUCGUGGAAUUCCCAGUGUAGAGGUGAAAUUCGUAGAUAUUGGGAAGAACACCGGUGGCGAAGGCGGCGACCUGGUCCGAUACUGACGCUGAGGAGCGAAAGCGUGGGGAGCGAACAGG